UACGGAGGGGGCAAACGUUAUUCGGAUUUACUGGGCGUAAAGGGUUCGUAGGCGGUUUUUUAAGUUAGAUGUGAAAGCUUGAAGCUUAACUUCAAAAUAGCAUCUAAAACUGAAAUACUAGAUUCUUGGAGAGGUAGAUGGAAUUACCGGUGUAGCGGUGAAAUGCGUAGAUAUCGGUAGGAACACCAGUGGCGAAAGCGAUCUACUGGACAAGUAAUGACGCUGAGGGACGAAAGCGUGGGUAGCAAACAGG
rnacentral:rRNA from 1 species